GCAUGUUGGAUAUGUGGAGGCCUACAGAGGGUCUUGUUUCUUUGGUGAAAGCGAUGGAAACAACAAAUUUCUUGGAUUUUGGUGCAAGAGAAGCCAAUAAUUAAUGCCCACAUGAUUUGACAAAUGAUCUGCCCCAUCUAAAUGUGCAGAGACCAAAAAGAAAUGGACCACUUUUGCAUUUGUUGCUGCUAUUCAUCUUUGGCCUACAUUUGCCGUACCAGAUGAUCUGUCUAGCAUUCCAUCUUUGUGGUAAAAUAGAGUACACCAUGGUUCGAUUUUUUAAAGCAAAUUCAGAAAACCAUUUAUGGUGCCAUGCACCAAUGUCGAUAACAAAUUGCUAAACUGAUGCUGGUGGUGCUGCCGAUGUUGAUAGCUGACAGUGCCAUAAUGCAUGCAGUGCACUACAUUGAUCCAUAAACCAACCCCCUUACAAUCUUUGAGUAAGUUGAUAGAACUGUUACUGUACCUUUACACUGUGUCUUGAUGAUGAUCUUGUUUUCUAUAUUUGUCGUUACCAGAGUAACUACCAGAUCUGUCUUCCAACUCCAUUGUGGAACUGGAACAUGUUGUGUUUUCUCAUUUCUCCUGUUUAUGUCCUUGUUGAUCAUUGAUGGCAUCAGCUGUCAAAGUGUCACCCAUAAUUAUUACUUGCUCUUUGUCAGAAUAUGAUCCUUUCCUUUGUGCUUAUCUCCUACCUACACCUUUUGUCCUUGAGAUAUAGAAUGUUGGUACCGCUGCCAAUGCACUGAUUUCUCCUAGCAACCCCAAAACUUACCAUUUUAGUAAUAAAAUCCCACACCUGUGAAUAGAAAGGCAUGAAGAAAUAGGAUGUCCUCACCUGGAUAUGGAAAAUGUUUGCCGUGCAAAAUUUAGCAGCUUCUUCAACAACUUAGCACGGUUGGACGAGUUUUCUUUCUAGGAUCAUCCACAAGGCACUGUGUGUUUAUAAAUGCUUGCCUUCAGGUUGACUUUGGUUGAUUAGUGAUUGAACCACCUGACAUUGGUAGGACCUUGUUUGAUAUUGAGCUUCCUCCAUAGUUUUUCUUGGCUUCUACCGACUAGCUAGAAAGCCAGUCCAGCACCAGUCACUGGGUGUUUUAUAAAAUACAUACCUUGAGUGGAUGUCUGGGACCUGGUUUCAUUUGCCCAAGACAAAAGCAACAGAUUCUUGCAAAAUUACUGUUCGGUCUUCGAUUGUUUUCAAGGCAUCCUGCAUAACUUUUUUGACAUGUAUUUUAGCUUGUGUUUAACUGGAAAACGCCACUGAUUUUGGUUUGAGGACCCUUUAAACGACCGUGUAAGACAGUUUUGGAGAAAUCAGAUUAAACCCAUUUUUUAAGAGGUAUGGUGCAAGAAAAGUCCCUACAUGUAUUGAUGAACUAGCAUCAUUCUGUAUAACCUGCUCUCCUGCCUGUCCUAGAAAUCUUGGCAGGGUGGUCUAAAAUCUAAUAGGGUUUUUUCAUAAAUAUCAUAGAGGACAAAAACUAAUGGAAAAUACUCAGAGAUUGAGAUCAAAAUCUCCAUAUCUCCCUGUAAAAUUGUGAUUUUACCCCUCACACUUCAAUCAAGUUGCCCCCACUAUACCACUAAACAAAAUUUAAGUACUAGAGAAUUACCCUUUGCCUCCAUUGAUCCCAUCAAAAUCUGCAUCAUAUCUACAUAUAAAAUUGUAGUUUUGCACCACUACUAUUCAACAAAACCUAAGCAUUAAAGAAUUACCCCAACCAAAACCUGCAUAUAUGCGUAUAAAAUUAUAGGUUUGCCUCCAUACUUGAAUGAAAUCACCCUCACUACUCUUUAACAAAAGCUAAAGUAGUAAUACCACCUUGUUUAUAUGUCUUUGGGUCCAAAUAAUCUGACAACACUUAAAAUAAAUUAUACCACCACCUUGUUUAAACAAAGAAAUAGAUU
rnacentral:lncRNA from 1 species